AGAGUUUGAUCAUGGCUCAGGACGAACGCUGGCGGCGUGCUUAACACAUGCAAGUCGAGCGGUAAGGCCCCUUCGGGGGUACACGAGCGGCGAACGGGUGAGUAACACGUGGGUGACCUGCCCUCAGCUCUGGGAUAAGCCUGGGAAACUGGGUCUAAUACCGGAUAUGACCUGGCCUCGCAUGGGGUUGGGUGGAAAGUUUUUCGGCUGGGGAUGGGCCCGCGGCCUAUCAGCUUGUUGGUGGGGUGAUGGCCUACCAAGGCGACGACGGGUAGCCGGCCUGAGAGGGCGACCGGCCACACUGGGACUGAGACACGGCCCAGACUCCUACGGGAGGCAGCAGUGGGGAAUAUUGCGCAAUGGGCGAAAGCCUGACGCAGCGACGCCGCGUGGGGGAUGACGGCCUUCGGGUUGUAAACCUCUUUCGACCGGGACGAAGCGCAAGUGACGGUACCGGUAGAAGAAGCACCGGCCAACUACGUGCCAGCAGCCGCGGUAAUACGUAGGGUGCGAGCGUUGUCCGGAAUUAUUGGGCGUAAAGAGCUCGUAGGCGGUGUGUCGCGUCGGUCGUGAAAACUUGGGGCUUAACCCUGAGCUUGCGGUCGAUACGGGCAUCACUUGAGUUCGGCAGGGGAGACUGGAAUUCCUGGUGUAGCGGUGAAAUGCGCAGAUAUCAGGAGGAACACCGGUGGCGAAGGCGGGUCUCUGGGCCGAUACUGACGCUGAGGAGCGAAAGCGUGGGGAGCGAACAGGAUUAGAUACCCUAGUAGUCC
rnacentral:rRNA from 1 species